UACGUAGGGUGCGAGCGUUGUCCGGAAUUAUUGUGCGCAAAGAGCUCGUAGGCGGUCUGUCGCGUCGGUCGUGAAAACCUGCAGCUUAACUGUGGGCUUGCGGUCGAUACGGGCAUGACUGGAGUUCGGCAGGGGAGACUGGAAUUCCUGGUGUAGCGGUGAAAUGCGCAGAUAUCAGGAGGAACACCGGUGGCGAAGGCGGGUCUCUGGGCCGAUACUGACGCUGAGGAGCGAAAGCGUGGGGAGCGAACAGG
rnacentral:rRNA from 1 species